GUAUUAUUGAUCGCGUGUGACCGCGAAAAUAAACAUUCUACACUGUAUCGAGUUUGUGUGAAAACGUGAGCCCCCGAAAGGGGACCCACGCGGUGGUGCACAUAGGGGUGAGAUGGAUGUUUGAGAACGCUCGGGCGUGCACGACGAAAAAGUCAGCGACAGCCCUCGCGCCUCGGUUUUACGAUAAUGAUCCUUCCGCAGGUUCACCUACGGAAA
rnacentral:misc_RNA from 1 species